UAUGAAGGGGGCUAGCGUUGUUCGGAUUUACUGGGCGUAAAGCGCACGUAGGCGGCUUUCUAAGUCGGGGGUGAAAUCCUGGAGCUCAACUCCAGAACUGCCUUCGAUACUGGAAAGCUCGAGUCCGGGAGAGGUGAGUGGAACUGCGAGUGUAGAGGUGAAAUUCGUAGAUAUUCGCAAGAACACCAGUGGCGAAGGCGGCUCACUGGCCCGGUACUGACGCUGAGGUGCGAAAGCGUGGGGAGCAAACAGG
rnacentral:rRNA from 1 species